UUAUCUGUUAGUAUGUAAAAUAUUAUAUAACAAUUCUCAAAAGACAGUACAAUUUCGAAAAGAUAAAAAGGUGAAAGUAAUAAAUAUUUAUGCGCGUUGCCAUAUUUUAGUUUGUACCAAUGUGAAUAUAAGCAUUUUUGUGAUGAAUUGAGCAUAACUACGAGCUUAUGUAGACACACUAUACAUGGAAGUAUUAUGUAUGCUAUAGUCAUAUUUGGCAUGAAAGUUCCAUGCUCUACAAUUUUAAAGCACCUGGAUGGUUGUAUGGUGUAUAUGGAUCUCUGCCUUGAGCUUUAUAGUUUCUUCGGUGCAUCCCAUAUGGGCGAUAUGAAAAAUUUAAGGAGAACCAGGGCGGAGAAAAUGGUUUUCCUGAAGAAAUGUGUUGAUUAUGUUCUUGCGAAAGUUGAAUGGUACUCACUGCACAAACUAUAUUCCUUGAACUACAAUGAGCGUAUUCAUCAAUUGGGUAAGUAACAAGUACAAGGCGAUGAAUUGUGUGGCUUUUCUAAGUUGGACCAGCUGAAUUAUGGAGUUAACAAGUUUGCUUACAUAUCUGUAUAUUGGUCACUCUCCUAGCGAUUCUUUUCUAUGAACUCCUUUUUUGUGUCUUGAUCUGUUUGUUCUUGGUAAAAAUUAAGAUCAACCCAUCGUAUUGGCUUGUAUACCUAUACCGGUCUUAGGUUAUACCAGUCUGAUGAUAAGAUGAACUAAUCCUCACUUUUGAGAUUGGCUGCCUUUUCAAGAAUGUUCAACUUUUAUUUCAACCCAUGCAUUCUGGUGAUCCGAUGAACUAAUCCUCACUUUUGAGAUUGUCCGCCUUUUGGAGAAUGUUCAACUUUUACUUCAAUCGCUCUUGUGCUCUGUGAUCAAGUAUCCAUCUUGUAAGAUUGUCACCUCUAUAUUAAUGUGGAUAUAUUAGCUAGCUCUCCAUGUUCUGCUCUAUCAGUGAAUACUCUGUUGCUGCAGUUCAGUACAUGUAUUUUUUGUAACAACUGGCAGUCAUUUGGAUGCUUAGUGACGUUAAAAAAAUGUCCCAACAAGAUUAGUGUGCAUAGAUCCGUCCGACAUCUAAACAAUGCACUUUCUGCAAUAAAAGAAAUCUUAAAUCUUCUUAAAGGAUGUAAGAAGAACCUAAAAUAUCAGUCUUUGUGUUGUAGUAUUCAAGUCUAUUGGAUUAGAUAAAGUUAGAAAACUAUCACAUGAUUUUGAAUGCACUGUCCAAUAGACGUAACACGAUUAGGUACUUAUGUUUGUUAAUAUAACCCCUUCUACCAUUUUAUUGACUAUAACCAUUAAUUAUGGUUCAUUUCAAUCAUGUUUAUACACAUGAAGCUUGUGCUGAUAAAAUUCAUAUGUCAGCUAAUGGAGCACUUGCAGGUUCAAGUUUGUUUAAGAUCACUGUGGAGUCACAUUUGAAGGUUGCUGCUGAUUUGCAUUUGAGGAUAAUGAUCGUGCUGAUAACUUUCAUGUUUCCUUUUCAACAAUUAGCCUUGUAUGUGCUCUGAUUGCAUGAGGAGCUGCUGACACCACCAUACCAAUUGUUUUUUGAGCGAUGUGCAUGGCUAAGUCAGAGAGAUGUCGAUAAUGAUCCCACUAAAAAAUUGGAGGAGAUGUACUGGUAGUUUUCUUAGCCAAAAACAGGAAGAUGAUCUCUCACUCUGGCCUUUCAGUUAACUAAGGUAUGUCUUUACAUCAAGAUUAUCAACCAUUUCCUAAUUUAUUCAGGCAAAGGAAAACCACUGCUUGUAAAUAAUUCAAAGAUUUCUUCUUUUUUACUUAUGUUUUU